rnacentral:rRNA from 1 species
UUUGAUGGCGACCGGCGCACGGGUGAGUAACACGUAUCCAACCUGCCGAUGACUCGGGGAUAGCCUUUCGAAAGAAAGAUUAAUACCCGAUGGCAUAGUUCUUCCGCAUGGUAGAACUAUUAAAGAAUUUCGGUCAUCGAUGGGGAUGCGUUCCAUUAGGUUGUUGGCGGGGUAACGGCCCACCAAGCCUUCGAUGGAUAGGGGUUCUGAGAGGAAGGUCCCCCACAUUGGAACUGAGACACGGUCCAAACUCAUACGGGAGGCAGCAUG